GUUCCGCGUCUGGGCGGCGCGGAGGCCGGAGGGCGAGAGGGGCAACGGGCGAAGCGCGACCUCCGAGGAUCCGACCGGCGACGGCUAGGGCGCCUCCUCCAAUCGUCCUCCGACAUCCGCGCGGGAAUCGAAUCCCGGUGGCUUCCUCCCGCUUCCGACGCAAGGACGGGUUCUCGAUCGCGGCGGCGCGGUCUCCUCCGCCCUCCCCCGGCCUCGUCCUCCCUCCUGCCUCUACGUCCGCGCCUCCUCCACCUCGUCCCGGGCCUCCUACCUCGACCUCGGCCCCUCCACGUUUACGAAUCCAAGCUGGUGCGCAAUGACGGCUUCGCGAAUCCCGGCGGCUUCCUUCCGCUUCCGCCGCAAGGACGGGUUCUCGGAUCGCGGCGGCAAGGUCUCCUCCGCCCUCCCCCGACCUCAUCCUCCCUCCUGCCUCUACGUCCGCGCCUCCUCCACCUCGUCCCCGGCCUCCUGCCUCGACCUCGGCCCUCCACGUUCACGAAUCCUGCAUAACCCAAGAAUUAUUGAACUGUGAAGAGAGAUGGAGAUAUCGCAUCUCUUUUCCGGAAACAUGCAGCAAAGGCGCUUGCUGCUUCUUUAUCUCCUUCCCUGGCUCCGGCUGCAACUGUGGAGGAAGAGCAAACUCAAGAGCAAUGAGUUUAGUCAAAAGUAAGUUGAGAAAUAAGAUGGGGUGAUAAUCUGUUGGACUACUGUCUGGUCACAUUCAUUGUGCCAGAUAUUUUCUUCGAAGUGGAUGAAGAUGCUAUAAUAGAGUUUCAUGGCCACUAGAAGGGCACGCCAGAUGAGAAGUAAUAUUAUAAUCCUCUUUCAACUAUGGUUGGUGUGUAAGCUUCUUUUAUGCAUAUUUCAGACUUAGCAUACUGCAUCCGCUUAGUGUGGUGAGAAGACAAGACCUGGCAUUGGACUGGGCCGCCGUGCUUACUGCUUUCUUCUCCUUUUCUUUUUUGAAUCUUUUUCUUUCUUGGACUGCCUCUGCUGGUACUAAUACAUUCAGUUGAGUUCUGCAGAUGGCUCCUUCAAAACCCCCACUUCCAGAAAGUCUCUUCUGCCCUUUCCAAGAGGAGAUUGAAGAUAUUAGGAUUCAUAUUUGGAACACAUCUAAGGGCCUAGAAGGCUGGUUCCAUCUACAAGAAGCGAUGAAAAGGCGGCAGACAAGACUGGCACCAUUUACUAUUGUCGCUCAAGGACGAACAAUUCCUGUCACACCUCUGGAGAAUCCGAAGACCAAAUGAGUAGUCAUUUCAUCAUCCAAAUGAUUGAUGAUGAUGACAAACAAUUCAAGGUUAAUUGCCUGCUCAGAGAUAUGGAUGCUUAUUUCAUGGGGUUCCAGCGAGAUUUGGUCUUAAGUGAAGAGGAGCAGGGGCUCGAGGAGAAAAAGAGAAUGGAGAGAAAUCCAGAAGCAAGCUCCUCGAAAGGAAAGAAGAAGAAGAAGAAGACAGAGGAAGCAAGCUUGUUGAAGGGAAAGAAGAAGACGGAGGAGCAAUCAGAGAAAGGCAACUUUUACAGAUUUAAAGAAAGAGAUAUGAUGGUGCCAGAAUUCUUAAAUGCCACGAAGCUGAAUGUUGAAGCUGGUUACAGGAAAAGUCCCAAACCUGGAGGAAGAGAUGCGAUUCGGCAUAUGUUUCGAGCAUUCAGCUGAUACCAGGAUGGAACAGUCACAGAUGAGGAACUUGAGACUGCUUGCUAUUGCUUCAUGGGCACAGUUAGCGAACCCUCUCGCCUGUUUUCUUUUUUCCUGGAGAUCUCACGAAGAAUAGCAGCUGGGGAGGUUCCGUCUCCUCUGAAUAACCUCUUGUUGAGUAAUAUUGAUAAUUGGGGCCAAUUGGGGAAUGUUGUGCUCGAUGCGCGCCUACUUGAUCGCCUUGGCUCCUACCGCUUGUUGCCCCUCUGGUGCUGGCGCCACAACUUGGUGAUAAUGAGAGAGCUUAUUGGCCAAAGAGGGAAGAUACUGGUUAUCAGAAUUGACAGAAAGAAGAUUGGGAUCUCUGAGGAAAGACUCAAAGAAAUAGAGAAGGAAGCCGCUUCAAGAAACACUGGGCCGGCCUACAGACUAGAUCCUGGCUUUGAGUUGGUGGCGAUCGACUGACACCAGGGUAUUGUGCUCCUACAUAGCAGCACAUCUUUUGGUCCUCGUGAAAAAUGUAGCUAAGGAUCGAGCACAUCUUUUUUGGCAUUGGUAAAAGUGUAGCUCAAGGAUCCAGUUCGGAAUUGUUGUUUAGUAGCCCUUUUGUUGGACUGGAGCCCUGAUCAGAAGUAUUAUUGGUAUACUGUCAUAUGGUUUGGAUUACUGUAUGGUAUGCCCCGACCUUGCCUGAGCAGUUGUGCUCCUACUGUAGCUUCCAGCAACUUUCUAUAUGUAGCUCUUGAGUUGAGAAAUUAAUAUUCAUUUACUCAGGUUCGGAUGGUCCUUGAGCUGUA